UAAGCGACUAAGCGUACACGGUGGAUGCCCUGGCAGUCAGAGGCGAUGAAGGACGUGCUAAUCUGCGAUAAGCGUCGGUAAGGUGAUAUGAACCGUUAUAACCGGCGAUUUCCGAAUGGGGAAACCCAGUGUGUUUCGACACACUAUCAUUAACUGAAUCCAUAGGUUAAUGAGGCGAACCGGGGGAACUGAAACAUCUAAGUACCCCGAGGAAAAGAAAUCAACCGAGAUUCCCCCAGUAGCGGCGAGCGAACGGGGAGCAGCCCAGAGCCUGAAUCAGUGUGUGUGUUAGUGGAAGCGUCUGGAAAGGCGCGCGAUACAGGGUGACAGCCCCGUACACAAAAAUGCACAUACUGUGAGCUCGAUGAGUAGGGCGGGACACGUGGUAUCCUGUCUGAAUAUGGGGGGACCAUCCUCCAAGGCUAAAUACUCCUGACUGACCGAUAGUGAACCAGUACCGUGAGGGAAAGGCGAAAAGAACCCCGGCGAGGGGAGUGAAAAAGAACCUGAAACCGUGUACGUACAAGCAGUGGGAGCCUCUUUUAUGGGGUGACUGCGUACCUUUUGUAUAAUGGGUCAGCGACUUAUAUUCUGUAGCAAGGUUAACCGAAUAGGGGAGCCGAAGGGAAACCGAGUCUUAACCGGGCGUUAAGUUGCAGGGUAUAGACCCGAAACCCGGUGAUCUAGCCAUGGGCAGGUUGAAGGUUGGGUAACACUAACUGGAGGACCGAACCGACUAAUGUUGAAAAAUUAGCGGAUGACUUGUGGCUGGGGGUGAAAGGCCAAUCAAACCCGGAGAUAGCUGGUUCUCCCCGAAAGCUAUUUAGGUAGCGCCUCGUGAAUUCAUCUCCGGGGGUAGAGCACUGUUUCGGCAAGGGGGUCAUCCCGACUUACCAACCCGAUGCAAACUGCGAGUACCGGAGAAUGUUAUCACGGGAGACACACGGCGGGUGCUAACGUCCGUCGUGAAGAGGGAAACAACCCAGACCGCCAGCUAAGGUCCCAAAGUCAUGGUUAAGUGGGAAACGAUGUGGGAAGGCCCAGACAGCCAGGAUGUUGGCUUAGAAGCAGCCAUCAUUUAAAGAAAGCGUAAUAGCUCACUGGUCGAGUCGGCCUGCGCGGAAGAUGUAACGGGGCUAAACCAUGCACCGAAGCUGCGGCAGCGACACUGUGCGUUGUUGGGUAGGGGAGCGUUCUGUAAGCCUGUGAAGGUGUACUGUGAGGUAUGCUGGAGGUAUCAGAAGUGCGAAUGCUGACAUAAGUAACGAUAAAGCGGGUGAAAAGCCCGCUCGCCGGAAGACCAAGGGUUCCUGUCCAACGUUAAUCGGGGCAGGGUGAGUCGACCCCUAAGGCGAGGCCGAAAGGCGUAGUCGAUGGGAAACAGGUUAAUAUUCCUGUACUUGGUGUUACUGCGAAGGGGGGACGGAGAAGGCUAUGUUGGCCGGGCGACGGUUGUCCCGGUUUAAGCGUGUAGGCUGGUUUUCCAGGCAAAUCCGGAAAAUCAAGGCUGAGGCGUGAUGACGAGGCACUACGGUGCUGAAGCAACAAAUGCCCUGCUUCCAGGAAAAGCCUCUAAGCAUCAGGUAACAUCAAAUCGUACCCCAAACCGACACAGGUGGUCAGGUAGAGAAUACCAAGGCGCUUGAGAGAACUCGGGUGAAGGAACUAGGCAAAAUGGUGCCGUAACUUCGGGAGAAGGCACGCUGAUAUGUAGGUGAAGUCCCUCGCGGAUGGAGCUGAAAUCAGUCGAAGAUACCAGCUGGCUGCAACUGUUUAUUAAAAACACAGCACUGUGCAAACACGAAAGUGGACGUAUACGGUGUGACGCCUGCCCGGUGCCGGAAGGUUAAUUGAUGGGGUCAGCGCAAGCGAAGCUCUUGAUCGAAGCCCCGGUAAACGGCGGCCGUAACUAUAACGGUCCUAAGGUAGCGAAAUUCCUUGUCGGGUAAGUUCCGACCUGCACGAAUGGCGUAAUGAUGGCCAGGCUGUCUCCACCCGAGACUCAGUGAAAUUGAACUCGCUGUGAAGAUGCAGUGUACCCGCGGCAAGACGGAAAGACCCCGUGAACCUUUACUAUAGCUUGACACUGAACAUUGAGCCUUGAUGUGUAGGAUAGGUGGGAGGCUUUGAAGUGUGGACGCCAGUCUGCAUGGAGCCGACCUUGAAAUACCACCCUUUAAUGUUUGAUGUUCUAACGUGGACCCGUGAUCCGGGUUGCGGACAGUGUCUGGUGGGUAGUUUGACUGGGGCGGUCUCCUCCUAAAGAGUAACGGAGGAGCACGAAGGUUGGCUAAUCCUGGUCGGACAUCAGGAGGUUAGUGCAAUGGCAUAAGCCAGCUUGACUGCGAGCGUGACGGCGCGAGCAGGUGCGAAAGCAGGUCAUAGUGAUCCGGUGGUUCUGAAUGGAAGGGCCAUCGCUCAACGGAUAAAAGGUACUCCGGGGAUAACAGGCUGAUACCGCCCAAGAGUUCAUAUCGACGGCGGUGUUUGGCACCUCGAUGUCGGCUCAUCACAUCCUGGGGCUGAAGUAGGUCCCAAGGGUAUGGCUGUUCGCCAUUUAAAGUGGUACGCGAGCUGGGUUUAGAACGUCGUGAGACAGUUCGGUCCCUAUCUGCCGUGGGCGCUGGAGAACUGAGGGGGGCUGCUCCUAGUACGAGAGGACCGGAGUGGACGCAUCACUGGUGUUCGGGUUGUCAUGCCAAUGGCACUGCCCGGUAGCUAAAUGCGGAAGAGAUAAGUGCUGAAAGCAUCUAAGCACGAAACUUGCCCCGAGAUGAGUUCUCCCUGACCCUUUAAGGGUCCUGAAGGAACGUUGAAGACGACGACGUUGAUAGGCCGGGUGUGUAAGCGCAGCGAUGCGUUGAGCUAACCGGUACUAAUGAACCGUGAGGCUUAACCU
rnacentral:rRNA from 1 species